rnacentral:antisense_RNA from 1 species
GGAAACACGUUGGUCUGCGCACUCAGAGCCGAGUUAAAUGUGCAGGAAGAUUCCCCCAAACUGAAAGAAGUAAUGAAAAGAAAACAAAAAAAUCCUUAAAAAUCGAGUGAAUCAGUUCGUAGAGAAUUGCAGAGUGGUACUCAGCAGAACAACAAUUAUAUCAUAUAAGCUGCAUCAGAGACAAAUGAAGAUGAAAAAACUAUCCUCCUAUAUAACUAAUCUGUGCUGUGCCCCAACAAGAACCUGCUUUAAAUUUCCAUGCCAAUUACAACCCCAUUCUGUACCAGGCAAGACAGUCACAUAAUAUAUAUCCAAGUCAGAGAAUGCUAAUAUAAACCUUGCCCACCUCUCUCAGCCCGUCUUUCUUACUCAGACAGUUUCUGAGCAGCUCUUUGAUGAACACACAAUCUUCAGUUUCCAGGACAAACUGAACCACAGCCUUCCCUCCUGGCAGAUGGCUCCUCACCAUCUGACUUUUGACACUGUCCAGGACAACUCCCCUGAUGUCUUUAGGCUUUCCUGGCAUACCAAAGAUGAUAAACAGACCCAGGCAAUCCUCUCCUAUUAAGUUACAGAAUUCUUCUAGCUUAUCAAAUCUACUUUUCUUCCAGGAAGACUCCUCUACCCUUGAUUCUGGAUUGGAAAGGUCACAAGGCUUAGAUUCCACAGGAGGAGGUGAAGACAUCUGC